GGAAGGGUGGCAGAGCGGUUGAAUGCACCGGUCUUGAAAACCGGAGGGGCGAAAGCCCUCGUGGGUUCGAAUCCCACCCCUUCCG
rnacentral:tRNA from 1 species